UCGCCUAAAACAGCCCCUUACCUCGUAUGAAGAGCAGUGUAGCUUUUGACGAGUGAUGAGUCGCAAAUGUCACAUCAUUGGUGGCAUGAGUAGCCCUGCAAAUGACAUUAACAAACCAUUAAAAAAACAAGGCAGCUCCUACCUAAUUACAAUCGUAUGGAUAGAUAAUAAAGAGAGGUAUUUGCCAAAAAAGGUUUACAUUUCUCUUUAUUAUAAUAUGGAUAAAUAGCAUUAAAAAAAAAAAAAGAUCUGCAUGAUUAUCAAAUAGCCAUUAAUUCAGGGUAUUUUAGGUCUAAAAGAUUUGUUGAGAAUGUCUUGUAUUUUGAUUUUCUAUCUUAUAAUAUUGCAAGAAUUUUUUACAUACGCACGUCUUUGCAUAUAUAGCUGUUUUGACCUUUUCAGGUUACCAAGUCUAUAAAACCCGACAUUUCUAUGCGUUUUUGUUUCUUUUACCAAGCUUUUAACUGUUUUUUCAAGGAUCCAAAUGGUAUAGUCACACGAUAGGCGAUACAGGGCCUCUUUUUGUCUGCCCGUGUGCGCCUGAAUCCUUUUUCUGUAAUUUUUGUUGAUGAUAUGAAUGAAUUCACAGUUUUUUUUUUUUUUUUAAAGGAUCCAAAUGGUAUAAAAUUCAAACCUUCUCUAAAUCCCAACUUUUCUAAUGCCAUUUUUUCAAGACUAGAUCCUCUCUUUGUAACUUAAAGAAGCCCAACUCUAAACACUUUCCAUAGGUUGUUGCACCAUGACUUGUCAUGCAGGUCACUCAUUCCUACCAACAUGCUGCAAAUGAGUAAUCCUCAUCUUGAAAAUCAGUCUGAUCCACUCCGUAGUGGACCACAACUGAUGCUUACACGAGAUGACCGUCGAAAGCUUUAUUCGAGUUUUGGUUCAUUUUAGCUUUUCAAGUGACCUUUUUCCUGCAUUUUUUGGCUUGGAAUUACUCAACUAAGUUCCUGCUAUAGCUGAUAGAUGGUGUGUUCAUGGCUGUACCUAAUAGAUGGUGUGUUUGUGCUUCAUAGGUAUCCAUUUGUUCACGAGGAAUUUGUUGUUUGUGAGGACAUUGAUCAGACUUACACAGAGUAUUGGAAUGCUAUCCAGCACAUUUUUUAGGAGUACUCGGAAGGAAGAUAUUGUAGUUCCUAUGGUAAGAAUAGUUUUAGGUAUUGUUGUUGCAUACUUCUUAAAUGCUUUUGAAUUGUGUUCAAAAUUCUUUUCCAGCAGGCUUAUUGCUAUAUUUAUGUUGAAUGAAAGUAAAUUGACUGGAUAAUCAUUUACGGGUGGUUAUGGGCCAGGUUUGGGCCAUGUCAAGGUCAGCCAGAAUCUAACCUAUUUACUAAUUGAGCCAAAAUCAGACUUCACAUACAUUAUUUUAAUGCAAGCCGAGGAUAAACAUCUUAUGCUAGAAGUAAGAUUCAUUUUUCUCUACUUGUUACUUUAUUAAAAGCAUGCCACUAUUUUUCUCUACAGUCCAAUCUGUUGAUAUGAUGGACUCCCUGUAGAUGGGAGAUGCACCAAAAAUUUGCCAAAUUGGAGGAUCCUAACAAUUAUUCUUAAGAGCAGUAACAACCCAUCUUCCGAGAUUUGUUUUGGGAGAUGAGUGUUUGAUGAUGCAGGCUGAGGUGUAUCAUUCGUACAUGGAAGUGUUACGUGCAUAUGAGAUUUUUAAUGCAGAUGGAGAUAUGUGGAGGAAGCAAAGAAAGACUGCAAGCUUGGAGUUCGCAUCAAAGAACUUGAGAGAUUCCAGUACUCUUGUAUUCAGAGACUAUGCCCUCAAGCUAUCAACUAUCUUAUGCCAAGCUUUUAUACAAAACCAACAAGUAGGCGUGCAGGUCUUUCUCAUCUACCCAAGAAACACUCUCUUCUAAUGCAUGCAUAUCUGUAUUGAUGCAUGUGGAUGUGCGUGUCUUUCUAAAGAGUAAUGAUCACAUGAAUCUCAUCACAUUCAACUCA